GCCAAACCUUCUAGUCGUUCUGUGUUAGUCCAUCUUCUCCUUGAUGAGUCCUCCCUUCCUAAUCUUCGAGCUUUGCAUUUUGUCGAACACCUUCCAGUCACCGCAAUUCAUCUCCCGCCACCCUAUGACCUUAAUUCGAAGACCAUGAAAUGUUCAAAACGAAUCAAACUCCUCAAAUCUUCAAUCUUCCCCACCCUCCCGCCUCUCUCUCCUCUCUCCUUCUCCACCCACCACUCAAACCAACUCCUCGAACCAUUCCAAAACCCUAAACCCCCCAUCCCUCCAUCCAAAUCCCGACUCUAUGCUUCCUUUUUCUCCUCUCUAAUCGAAAUCUAUCUAACAUGCACUCGUUUCUCUCAAGCGGCGGAGACAUUUACUAACAUGAGAAGCAUCGGACUGAACCCGCCGAUAAAUUCAUGGAACCGCCUUCUCUUCAAGUUCAAUUCAUCGGGUUUUCUCUCCCAGGUACCAAUCAUCUACUCGGAACUGCUUAAUUGCCAUGAAAAAGCCGAUGUCUUUGCAAGCAAUGUGAUGAUUCAUGCUCUGUGUAAAAUGCGUUUGAUUGAAAGAGCGGUAGAAUUGCUUAGGGAAGUUGAGACUGAUACCGUAAGCUAUAAUACGGUCAUUUGGGGGUUUUGCGAGCAUGGAAUGGUGGAAUCUGCGGUCGCAUUUUUGGCUGAGAUGAUUAAAAAGAGUGUCAGGUUUGACACGAUUGGUUGUAAUAUACUCGUUAAGGGAUUUUUUCGAGUAGGAUUGGUGGAUGAUGCUGAACAGAUGAUGAAGACGUUUAUUCGAGCAGGAUUUGGUAGGGAUAUCGUUGGGUUUAAUACUUUGAUUGAUGGGUAUUGCAAGCUGGGAUGGGUGAGUGAGGCUGCUACUCUGUUGGAAACUAUGAAGGAUGAAGAGGUUUCACCUGACAUUGUUACCUAUAAUUCUCUGAUUCAUGGAUUCUGUAAGACUGAAGAGUUUGAUUUGGCAAAGAGUCUGAUGGAUGAGAUUGGUCAGAAUUCAGAGUUGAAUGUUGUUACAUUCACUACAUUAAUAAGUUCAUAUUGUAAACAUGGAUGGCUGGAAGAAUCAUUCUUCUUGUUUGAAGAAAUGGUUCGGAAGGGCAUCUUACCAGAUAUUGUUGCUUACACGACUCUCCUGAAUGGUCUCUGCAAAAAUGGCGAACUUUCCAAGGGCUAUAAACUUUUCAGGGAGAUGGAGAUGGUCGGCAUUUUUCCUAACCACGUCUCGUACGCCAGUUUAGCCGAUUCAUUAUUCAAAUCAGGAAAACUGACAGACUUAUCUAUUCUAUUCAGGGAGAUGAUUGUUAGAGGUAUUUCAAUGGAUUUGAUUUCAUACAAUACUUUCAUGGAUGGAUUCUUCAAAGCUGGAAAGGUUGAUGAAGCUGAAGACAUGUUUAGAAUGAUCUUGUCCUGCUAUCUUCUUCCCAAUCAUAUCUCCUACACUGUGUUGAUUGAUGGGCGCUGCAAGACUGGAGAUAUUAUUGGUGCAGAACUGGCAUUCAUUGAAAUGGGAAGGAAGUCCAUUGGUGCAAAUGUGGUUACCAACUCUUCUAUCAUCAAUGGCUAUGUUAAAAUGAGAAUGCUGGAUAAGGCGAUUGGUGUUUUAAGGAAGAUGAAAGAAGAAAACAUACAUCCAAAUGCUGUCACUUAUGCAACACUCAUUAAUGGCUUAUCCAAGAUGAGAAGACAUGAAGAGGCUCUUGAUUUGUGUAGAGAGAUGAUAGAGGAAGGCCUGGAGGCCAACCAUUUCAUGUGUGAUGUUUUGUUUAAUGUAUUGAGGAGAAACAAUAGGAUGAAGGAGGCGGAAGGAGUAUUUGGAAAGAUGAUAGUUAAGGGACUGUUGCCUGAUCAUGUUAAUUUCACCUCUAUGAUGGAUGGAUUUUUUAAAGUGGGGAAUGAAUCAGCUGCUCUGGAAAUUGGACUGGAAUUGAUGGAAAGAAAGUUAGGCCUUGAUGUUGUUGUUUAUAACGGCUAUAUAAACCGUCUCUACUUGGCCGGGAAGUCUCAAGAAGCAAAAUCCAUUGUCGCACAAGUGAAAAGCAUGGGUUUGAAUCUAGAUCACGCUACAUACAACAUUAUGAUAGGCGCGUAUUGCAGAAAGGGGAGUCUCAAUAAGGCACUUAAAGUUUUUAGCGAAAUGAAGAGUCUUGGAGUUAUGCCUAAUAUCAUCACUUACGAAAUUUUGAUUCCGUCGCUAUGUGUGGUAGGAGAUGUAGAGAAGGGAAUGGAAUUGUUGAACGAGAUGGCACUUGCCGGAUUUCACCCGAGUGCAUCAACUCACAAGAAAGUGCUGCGAGCAUGUUCUAAAUGGAAGAGAGCUGAUUUAAUAUUGCAGUUCCACCAACAGAUGAUCUAUGCAGGGCUUGAUCUUAGCAUAUUGAUAUAUAAUACACUCAUGCAUAUCUUUUGCGUUCUUGGUAUGACACGAAGAGCUACGCAGGUUCUGAACGAAAUGCUCGAACGCGGGAUACAAGCAGAUACAAUUACCUUUAACUCUUUCAUCGAGGGACAUUGCAAAAGCGGCCAUUUUGAUAAAGCCCUCGCUUUAUAUUAUCAGAUGCUUCGUGAUGGGGUAUCCCCAAAUAUUACUACCUACAAUAGUUUAUUGGACGGGCUUUCUAAUGCUGGGAGGAUUACAGAAUCGGAGAUGAUAAUCAAUGAGAUGAAGAAGAAGGAAUUUGAGCCAAACUGUGUUACUUAUACCAUUCUUGUAUCUGGAUAUGCAAGGAAAAGUUAUGUUAAGGAAGCUAUAAGGCUAUAUUGGAACAUGGUGAGGAAAGGCUUUAUACCUACGGUAGGUACAUAUAAUGUUCUAAUGAGCGAGUUUGUGAAGAUGGGAAUGUUUAAACAAGUUAUUGAAUUGUGGAAUGAAAUGCAAAAGAGAGGUAUUUCCCCUAAUUGUUCAACAUAUGACAUGUUAAUUACAGUUUGGGCAAAGCUAUCCAAUGGUUUUGAGGUUGCUAAAUUGCUUAAGGAGAUGGAAGAUAAAGGUUUUAUUCCUUCUGAAAGUACUCUUCAUUUAAUCAGUAGAUCCUUUGCAAAAUUAGGGAAGAGGAGAGAAGCGUUGAAGUUUCUCAAAAGGAAGGGCUCAAAUUUGUGCAGUCUGAUCCAUUUAUGACAAGCUAUCACUUCUGUGCUAAGGUGGGCUUGUGGCUUCUGAUUGCUCUUCCUUUUAACUAGCUUCAUUUCAGCUAAAAGUACAAGCUACUCUGAGCAAGCAGACUUCACUUUCUGUCAGCUGAUGCAAUGGAGAUAAUGAAAUUAUUUUCGUAUUCUGUUUGGAGCUUGUACAGUGACGGAUUGCUGUAGAUAUGUUGGCUAAAAAGCAGCUGUGAGAUAAAUGAAGACUGCUUUCAGAUAGAACAUUAUAUUUUAAUAGAAAGCACAAAUGAGCUUCAAAAUUUGUAUAUGAAUCAGAUUCCUCCACAGUAUGCUGAAGAUGGGGUAAGCUAUUAUGUGAUAAUAAGACUACAAUCAAUAUUGCUCCCAGCCCAGUUCAGCUUGAUCGUACCAAACAUGUAGAGAUCGACAAACACUUCAUUAAGGAAAUGAUCGAGUUCAGGGAGAUUUGUGUUCUAUAUGUACCCUCCAGUGGCUAACUAUUGGACUUCCUCACCAAGAAUUUGCCUCGCUCUUGAGUGACAUCUAUUAAUCAACUUGAGGGGGAGUAUUAUAUUAUAAAGGUCAUCCCUACGUCAUUAUUACUUAUUAUUUGACUUUAUUUCCUGAUUAUA